CACUAGAUCGUGGCAUCGAGGCGUGCGUCCUCCAGUUCUGGACGUUUCCCCAAUAUCUCCACCUCCCCUCGAAGCUUCUCUUUGGAUGAGACCCAUGGCUGUCUCAGCCGGAUCCGUCUCAGCCAGCCCGUGGGCAUCCCCUCCGGCCCCGGCCAUUUCCCAUGCCGCAGCACACGCUUGCCGCUCCGUGCGUGCCGCCAUCCAGCAUGGGUGCCGCGUGAGCUCCGCCCUACGUGCUGGCCAGCCGGCCGUCCCUCCUGUGGCCCACACCGCCUACGUUGUGGGGUCGAAAACGGUGGCGGGAGGCACCAAGAAGACAGCCAUGGAGCCGCCGGCGGGGGCAGCGGCCUCCUCUACAGUGGAUAUUGGGGGAAGCUGCUACUGCUUCAUCUCUUAUUCCAGCAGGGGCGGCGACCUUUUCGACAAUGGAGAUGGCGGGGAAGACUGCUCUUGUUGCUUCAUCGAAGGUAGACGCGCCGGGGAUUCCACCGCAGUGAAAAAGUGUGGAUGGGCGUGUUGCUGCUCCUUCAUCGAAGUUAGGCGUGACAGGGGAUCCCGCAGCGGUGAACGCGUGGUGGAGCUGCCCGUCGUCCCUGUAGAGUCUGAGCUUUUGGACUCCUCUGCCGUCGGCUUAUUUGCUAGGUGCUAAAUUUCCUGGGUCGUCUUCGGUCUGUUGGUUAUGACUCUAAGGACUCCCUCGCGCCUAUUCUGCCGGUCCUGCUAUGCCGCAUACUUUGCUCCAAUCUAUUGAGGUGGUAUCUGCUCCGGCGGGAUACUUCGGCCUCUUCAAUUGUGAGGGGAAAUAAUUCUUCUACUGCAGUCUACUCUUCAGGUUUAAAAAACAUAUUAGCGCUAUUCUCUGGUGUACGUUCAGGUGUUACAUUUUAUCAGACUUUCUUCAGAUUUUAUCAUCCCCGGUGUCCUGCAAGUAAUAAAUAAUUGUCCUGUAACGUUUUAACCAUGAAGUUUAUGAGGCCUAUUACCGGAGCUGACUAACUACAUACAACCAGGUUUAUGUGCAAACUACAGUCCACCUAAUUAAGAGAGAAGCAAUUGUAGGCCACUGGUUUAGUAAUGGAAUUGAGAGGACUACUAGAAGUGCUAAAGAGCUCCUUCGAAUCAGGCAGCUUAAGGAGCAGCACAAAAUAAUGCAGACAUGAGUUGCCAGUACGUUUGUAUAGGCGAUGGUUCUAUGAAGCCACUCUUUGCUUUGCAGGGCAGUCAUCAUAGCAAAAUGCUGUCUGUCCUGGUAGGUCUUGCUAUGGUGGUCUAUGGCGCUUCAUACUGGUAUCGCCAAUAAACGUUUAGGCAAGAGUUAUCGUUGUGUAUACACCGUUUGCUGUCGAGAUGGCAGGGUAUCUCUUCUGCUUUUCCAUCUACCAGCAUCAUGCUGGCAGGAGUGUUAAUGUUGGGAAUGACCCAUAUGUUUUUAAGAUUUGUGGGGUUGUCUAUCAUGAGAUUACCUUUUCCUGCAAAGUAUGCUGCAAAAGUCGGUCCCUAAUGGAAACGCCUACAGCUGCACUGCUUCUGCAGAGAAGCGCAACACAGGUACAAGUUGCGAGUGAGCACAAAAGACAUCAAACCAAAUGAAGAAAAUAGAGUUCAUAUGUGGAUUCAUAUUUUUUUGGUGAACAUGGUAAAAUACGCCUACGCCAUGAUGCAGAGCUGGUUGUUGCAACGACCAGAGGAAAAGCAAGCGAUUUACGACCCGCUGUGCAAAAUGUUGUCGGCGCAAAAUGUUGGUCACUGCCUGUGUCACACAGAAAGCUUACGAAGCUGACAACAUCAUGUCCGUUGUCCGCUGUCCAAAACACCGUUUCAAGAAAAAGCCCUGGCACCUUCCCCUCCCGACGAAGUACCAAAUGGAAUAGAAGAUACCAGAGACUCAGACGCCACACCGAGCAAAACUAUUAUAGAAAAGUUUGAAUCCGAUAUAGAGGAGGUUGCCACCUUGCUGGGAUUGCCGCGUGGGGUUGCAGCGGAUUGUUCCGUUGACCUGCUGGUCGGUUGUAUUGUUGGUUACUUGCUGUUGUGAGCUGUUGCUGGGACUGUCUGUGACGUGUUCCUGGGACUCCUUGUUUCUCAGGGCCAGAUGAAUGUUGAGUGGUCCAACAAAGCCGUGGUGAUGAAAUACUUGUUCAAGUAUGUUACAAAAGGCUCUGAAAUGAUGCUCCUGCAGGCACCACAAUCGGUCACGAAACCUCCUGGACCUAGCGAUGGCAAGGGUGAGAUUGGCUCACAAGUCGAGAGGGCCAUGUUCACAGAAACGUCGCCUGAACAGCCCGAGGAAGUGCUGGAUCCUCAAGUUCAGUCUAAAGAGCUUGGUUUGCCUGCAUCUGAUGCUCCAGAUUCUCCACCUGCCCCGUCCGCUGCUCCUUUAGUGGACAGGUCAUCAAACAAAGUUCGUCUUUCAUUCACCAUUAUUUGAUGUUGACCUUCUAAUUAUGCAUAGGGCGUGGCCUAAAAUCGUGUGUUUGUUUUGUGCGACUCUUGGUUUUGAUUUUGUCUAGAUUGCCUAUGCCACAUUGGAUGUUCCUGUCCUCAAUUAUAUUUUCUGCAUUAGUCUUCCUGGUUUGUUUCUGUGACCACUUAGGUAUGAGAUGAAUCUGCAUGAAUUUUAACUUGCUGCUUGCACGUGUCCUUGUUUUUGCAAAGUUAUGCGUUUCGAGUUCUUUGUGCUGCUGACUUGAUCUUUGUUGUGGUAGGUUUGUGCAAUAUGUUUUCCUGACCUAUGAUGAUUAAGAUUUAUUGUUGACUGCCCGUUAGGCGCAAGCAGCCGCAGACUCGGGCGGAUGCAGCGGGCAAGAAAAAGAAGGCCUGAGCUAGAGGCAGGAGUGCUGCCACUAGACGACGACGGCCUUUGGUAUCUGUUUGGUACCCUUUGUCUAUCUACCAGUGGAUUUGAGGGUUAUGUCCUCCCUUUUGUAGUGGUCAUGUACAUAUGAACCAGUUCCCUCGGUACAACAGUCCUCUUGUGCAUCUUGUUUGGAUGAUACCUUCAGUGACACUAGCUCUAUGCAACUGCUUUUGAUUCGCUCUAAUGCCAGCUACUUAGCUAUGUAGUUUGCUUCACCUUGUGGUAUGUUAAUUAGACUGCAUAAUUAAACUUUUUCGGAUGUUCUGCGAAAUAUCAUUUCCCUGCUUUACACAACUAUUGCUUCACUAUGCCCCUAUGCAUUUAACCAUUUCAUUGCCUGUAACUAGGUUAACAGCAGCAAUUCAAACUGAGAUAUACUUUACAUCUCUAGCAUUGGAUAAUUCUGUUUUAAUGGCGUUUCUUGACGGUUUACUUUCAUAUUGUCUCUUCGUGCUCCAAAAGACUAGGAAAUAUUCGUGUAUUUCUUUUCUGUUUAUGUUAUGCAUCUUUCCCAAAUAGUCUACUAAUAUAUUGAACCAGAUAGAAACUUUGUUUUAAAAUUUGUGCUAUUAUAAUGCUCCUCUUGUUUGGUGGUUAUUGGAUAUAGCCUAGAAGGGCGUCAUAUUGAACAAUCAUGCACUAACGAACAUCCAUUUGUCUUUGAUGUGUAUAUUUGGCGGCGGUGAUUGUGUGAAACUUUCGGGUCUAUGUGAACCAGAUAGAAACUUCAUGUUAAUUUUAUAUCAGGGGAUAUUCGGGUAUGGCCUAGACUGAAAGAGCUAUCAGUAUUUGAUUCUGCCGGCAUCUUCUGAACAUAUACAUGCUUCGAAAAUGUAGCCAUUACCACCGAUAUCUUCUCCUUAAUUGUUGAUUCCUGUUUUCCUUUACAAGAACAUUCGCUUUUGGUGAUGCAAGUUUCAAGUAGGCGUUUGUUUCCUGUUGACUGUGUGUCGUGGCCUCUUAAGACCGUGUUCCUUUUGUAGUUGGCCUGUAGAUAUGAACUAAGUGUUUGUUGUGUUCAUGCUCGUGUGUAGCUUUGGUGUGUGCAUUAUUCAUAAAAUACACAUUCGUAAAUUCCUGGUUAAGGCCCGAUGUGGUUGUAUCUAUACUAAUUGUUAUGCACUUUUGUAAUAGACUUGGUGUUGUUUAUUACCUUUUCAGUUCACAGUUAUGUUCUUUUUCGGUUACCUUCACCGCUCAAAUAAAUUGGAUUGAUCUGUGUGUAUUUCAUAUUGGUUGCCAUUCACUUGCUGCUUGCUUAUAUUCGUUCUUUUAUAAAUGCUUAAUGUAGAGUUUUAUAAAGUAUUUUUUAAACGUGAGUAACAGCUACUUAGUGCCUGUUAGAUCCAUGUAUUUAUCUCUGACCAUGAGAUUGCUCACCUAUUUGGUACACUUGAUGCUCCGUUUGUACUUUCGUGUGUUUUUCUAAUUCCGUCCUACCGAUGUCGUUCCGCGAAAUCUAUUGUAUUAUUUUGUUGGAAGUUAACUUUUAUUUAUGUUAUAUAAAAUGUACAUUGGCACGAGCUCUACGGGAUCGUGCGCCAAAGCGCAUAUCUAAAUCUGAGUUCCAAUUGCAGUACCAGCUGAGUUCCAAUUCGUUUCCGAAGGCGGCCUAAACUGUGUGGUUAUAAUUAAUUUGGAUGUCGCCUUACCGGAUCUGGUACAGUGUUAAGGGGUAAUUAUCUGGUGGCAAGCUGCAUGCAGUAUUCAGGUAUCACAAGGCAUGUUGUAGCUGAAACUCUUGCAUGUAUAGAGAUGCAGUUUUGCUAGCUAUGUGGAGGAACUAUCAACGAGGAACUACCCAAUAACAGUCCAGACAAGGAUGGGAGGCUAAAGGAGGCCAGGUCUUGCCUGAGAUGGAAAUGAUCGUCUCAAACGUUCAGGAUUUUGUUUAUCUUAUGUAUCAUGAAGGUUGAAGGAAACACCAUCAUUCGAAAAGCUUUGCAACCAUGCUACAAGUAUUAAAGCUUUCUUAGAUUGAUGGUUUAGGUUAACUUUAUUUAGUUAUUUAGGAUCAACUGCGAUAUUCAGUAUGUAUCCUGAAAUGUUAUACUUCCAUUACAAAUUGAUUUAUGGUGCUUUUGUGCUUGCUAUAUUCUCCUACUAUUUAUCUUUUAUUGUAUCUAUUAUACCUCUAGAUUGAUUAUAGUUCUAACAGUGGCUGCUCUCGAGUUAUGUGGAAAUUUUGCUGAGUUUCACUUGUUUUCCUACUAUUUACAUUUUUUGGCAAGUUUGUCCCAAAGUGGAAUGCCUGUGGCCUAAACCGCCCCUGGUUUUGCUCUGUUAUGUUGCUGCUAGAUUUAUAUAUUUCCUUUGAUUGUUUGUAUUGAGGACUGCUAUUUUCAAUGUUUUUUUGUGCACCAAGCAUGAUUUAGAAAAUAAGAUUGAACAUCUUGCCCCACAUCUUCUGUUUCCUCAUUGACCCUGUGGCUCGGAGUUGUUGUCUUGAGCCGAUUGAGAAUGAGGAUGAGCUAUUCCUAAACUUAGAAUCAAGACCAUCUCCCUAAAAUUCGUUGUGCACUCCUUAAGUACCAGUAGGGUUGCUUAUAGGCUAUUUGACUCGGCUAUUUUAUAUCUUAUGACACACCAUGUGUUAUCACCCCUGUUUAAGAAGUUUCCUUUGUUCUUUCUACAAAACGCCAAGGUCCACCCCAGUUUUUUUAAUAGUGUUAUUAUACAAAAUAUAAACACAGGCGAGAGCCAUGGGGUGCACACCUCUAAAUCGCAUAUCAAACUUGGGUCUUGACGCUGCGACCAUCCAUUUGUGCCUCUAAAUCAACGAUGAGAGUUGAAUCAAAGCCAGAUGAAGCUUCGGUGAAGAGAACAAGAAAAGGUGAUGGCUUUGCCUGACCUCGCACGUAACAAACCCUCCUCUCCCGUGAUGAUUUGCUUCCCUUCCUCUGUUUUCCACUUCUCUUUUGAUUUAAUGCUCAUAACCUAUUAUAUUUGUUUGCACAGAUUUAUUUUUGGUCUAUGCCUACAAGUUGUUUGAUAUAAAUCCAACCAGGAAUUUGGCCCGUUGUUCUUCAUUUGUUCAUCUCUAGACCCACUCCAUCGGGUAAUAAUUUCCUUGCAGCCCAAUAUUUUUCCCAUCCACUCUGUCAGUUCCUUUCCUGACAUGAUACUCUUAUUUGCAUGGUCAAGUUCGGUUUCUUCUACAGUGUGUGUUUGGUCUUUUGCAAGUUGCAACUAUCAUUACAUUCAGAUUUCCUAAUCGAUAAGUAUGUUGCAAAUCUCUACAGAAGAAUCACCGUAGGAAGCUAACCUAGCUGGCAUUAUUAUUUCAGUGUGCAGAAAAUGCAAGAUGAGGUUGAGUUCUACACUAUUUGGUCACUGGUAUUCUGCCCUAAAGUGGUAGUUUAAAAGAUUUUUACCCUGGCCUUGGAUUUAUCCUUCCCAGCGAGCGCGGCGGGGGCAACCACAGGCAAGGUGACAAUGGAGUCGUCACCUCCGGUCAAGUCGUACGGGGACCAGGAGGCAGGAAUAUGCUGCGGCGGCCUUAAAAUCCCCAACAGAGGGCGCCAUCUUUGCAUCUAAAAAAAGGAAGACCGAACAGGCAAAUUCAGCAUCAGCCAAGAAACAGGUUAACAAGGCACUCUUCCGGCACAAAUCAGUAGUUAUGUACUAUAAACUUCGAACACAAGCUAAGCAUACCCAGUUCAAUUGUAUAAAGAUGCUCUAGCUUUACUUUCCUUUUUGUUCUCGCAGAGAAGUAAAGCCUCAUGUUCAGCAAUGGCCGACCCAGCCUGGAAGCUAUCAGCAGAAAAAGUUACGUGGAGUGAAGAUUUCGCGUGCUACCACAGAUCAGUUAUGUACAAUACGGAACUACCGGCCAACCUAGACAAUGUGUCCUUGAUAUCUAUUACCCAGCUGUGUGUAGUAACUUAAAAGCAUACUUCUAUGUCUCUGCACUACUAUAUUUGUGUGUAUAAUCGUAUGAAGCAUUCUGAUGCUUCAGCCGUGCUACUCUGCCCUAUAGCGCCCUCAUACUUGUGCAGGUGUACCUAACUUAGCUGUGCCAUGAAGCUCAUCUGCACACAACUCUGUCAUGGCUCUUCAGAUAUUAUGCCACGGGCGCGGCGUGCGCCGCGCCAAUGCCUCCUAGUUUGUAUAUAAGAGACACACGGUAGCCUUGAUUUGCUAGG